AUUUUUCUGCAUUUUGUUUGACAUUUCUCAAUUUCAGUCAAUUUCAAUAUUAGUGAUGAAAGAUACACAAGUGUGCAACUCGUAAAAGUUAUUGAAAAUCUACAUCUGUCAUUAAAAUUUAACCGCCUUUUACAUUAAAAUAGGGCAAUAAUGCGGAUUUGUAGCCAUAAACGAUAAUUCUGAAAUUGAUCCUGAAAAACAAAUGGUUGCCUUAUAAAGGGAUUCAAAUCGUCAAGCGUCAAAGUGUCAAAUUUUGGACAAAAAAUCGUCAAAAUGACAUUAAAUCGUCACGUCUCUAUGUCAGGUGCUCAAUUCCACUAUCUGCAAUCUGUGGACGCUCCCGGUAGCUGUCAACUGAGCUUCUCAUAAACACCACAAAAAUAGCAGCGCAGUUCCAAGGAGUUUCGAUCCGUAUGGUGCUCAUAGUUAUCUCGUCAAUUCCUUCUCUGGUAUACCUAGCGCUGUUGCGCAGAAAUAGAUCUCCUACAUGCACCCAAAUACUGAAAUAUUUGAAAAGUAGCCUUCCAGUUUAGAGGUAAUUGUUUUUAAAGCUCCUAUUUCAAUACCCAUGAUAAUGUUUUAAUGAGAUAAAGUCAUGUAGUGAAAAUUGGUAUGAAGUUUGUAAAUUUCGUCUCUUUCAAUCAAUAUAAGUCUUUUCAAUGUCUAA
rnacentral:sRNA from 1 species